rnacentral:rRNA from 1 species
UAAUACGGAGGUGGCAAGCGUUACUCGGAUUUACUGGGUGUAAAGGGCACGUAGGCGGCUCAAUAAGCCCUGUUUGAAAUGUGCGGGCUUAACCUGCACACGUGGCAGGGGACUGUUGAGCUUGAGGAUGGCAGAGGUAGGCGGAACUCCCGGUGUAAGGGUGAAAUCUGUAGAUAUCGGGAAGAACACCAGUGGCGAAAGCGGCCUACUGGGCCAUUUCUGACGCUGAGGUGCGAAAGCUAGGGGAGCAAACAGGAUUAGAUACCCUGGUAGUCCUAGCCGUAAACGAUGGACACUAGGUGUCGGCUCCAUUAGGGGUCGGUGCCGCAGCUAACGCGUUAAGUGUCCCACCUGAGGAGUACGGCCGCAAGGUUG